ncrna:Danio rerio (zebrafish) microRNA dre-mir-24 precursor (dre-mir-24-3)
GCCUCCCGUGCCUACUGAGCUGAUUACAGUACUGUGCAAACACUGGCUCAGUUCAGCAGGAACAGGAGUC